UUCUUUGAAACUUCUCUCUCUCUCUUUCAUUCUCCCUAACCCCCUCGAUCGAGCUCUUCAAUAAAGAAACAACUCCUCCAAAAUAGCAGAAAUGAAGAAGCAAAUAAGUCGUCUUCAUUUAUCGGUCUCCAAGAUCUGAUAACACACUAAGGGUUUACAAAUGAUUUCAGUUCAUAAACCACAUAAAUUGAAGAAAGAGAUUUGAUAAAGACCGUAAAAGAAAGUAAAAAGGGCGAUAAACUUGAAAUUGAGCCUUCUCACCAUUCACUGUGAUCAAGAAGAAGCUCGUUAAAAAGAUGGGACAAAACAAACUCAUCAUUAACUGGACUGUAUGAAAGAUGAUAACAAUAGUUACACAACUCAGAUGUAUGUAUAUCCCCAAGUUACACUAUUCAGUUGCCUCGGUAACUCAUAGUUACACAUUAAGUUGGAUGACACUGUAAAAGAACCCAAUCAACUGUUGAUAUCAGAGAAAGAUAUCCCUCAGGAAACCUUGGAGAAAGGGAAUACAAAAUCCUGAAUAUAUUGGAGUUUGAUAACAAAAGAAAGCUAAUUGUGCAAGAUGAGGAUAUGAAAAUUCUUCUUUUGUGAAAAGGUGAAGGCAGCUGUUGUGAGGAAGGAGAUUGGAGAUGAGACUGAUCGAGAGAUAGGACGUGGCAAUGGAAUUUCUAGUUUUUCUAUUCAUCUUAGUAUUUACUCUCCGAAUGUUGUGAAUUUGACCCUGAUGGAUCUUCCUGGAUUGACGAAAGUUGCCAUUGAUGGUCAAUCUGAAGCAUCGUUGCGGACAUUGAGAACAUGGUUCGCUUAUUAUUUAUUGAAAAGAUACACAAGCAUUUUGGAAUGGAGGAAGAUAAGAAGGGAAGAGAACAUUUUUAUUUUAUUAGAAGAUCUCGUUGCUUAUUUCUUGGAUUUCGUUAUACGUAUUUCGUGUUUUAGAUCGUUUAUUGUGUUCCAAAACAAUUGAUAAACAAAGAAUUUUUUGUAAAUGAAAUUAUUGUUUUGAUAACAACUGAAUACAGAUGUGUAA